rnacentral:rRNA from 1 species
CUACGGGAGAAAGGGGGCUCCGGCUCCCGCUAUGGGAUGAGCCUAUGUCGGAUUAGCUAGUUGGUGAGGUAACGGCUCACCAAGGCCACGAUCCGUAGCUGGUCUGAGAGGAUGAUCAGCCACAUCGGGACUGAGACACGGCCCGAACUCCUACGGGAGGCAGCAGUGGGGAAUAUUGGACAAUGGGGGAAACCCUGAUCCAGCCAUGCCGCGUGUGUGAAGAAGGCCCUCGGGUUGUAAAGCACUUUCAGCGAGGAAGAACGCCUAACGGUUAAUACCCGCUAGGAAAGACAUCACUCGCAGAAGAAGCACCGGCUAACUCCGUGCCAGCAGCCGCGGUAAUACGGAGGGUGCAAGCGUUAAUCGGAAUUACUGGGCGUAAAGCGCGCGUAGGUGGCUUGAUAAGCCGGUUGUGAAAGCCCCGGGCUCAACCUGGGAACGGCAUCCGGAACUGUCAAGCUAGAGUGCAGGUGAGGAAGGUAGAAUUCCCGGUGUAGCGGCGAAAUGCGUAGAGAUCGGGAGGAAUACCAGUGGCGAAGGCGGCCUUCUGGACUGACACUGACACUGAGGUGCGAAAGCGUGGGUAGCAAACAGGAUUAGAUACCCUGGUAGUCCACGCCGUAAACGAUGUCGACCAGCCGUUGGGUGCCUAGCGCACUUUGUGGCGAAGUUAACGCGAUAAGUCGACCGCCUGGGGAGUACGGCCGCAAGGUUAAAACUCAAAUGAAUUGACGGGGGCCCGCACAAGCGGUGGAGCAUGUGGUUUAAUUCGAUGCAACGCGAAGAACCUUACCUACUCUUGACAUCCUGCGAAUUUGGUAGAGAUACCUUAGUGCCUUCGGGAACGCAGAGACAGGUGCUGCAUGGCUGUCGUCAGCUCGUGUUGUGAAAUGUUGGGUUAAGUCCCGUAACGAGCGCAACCCUUGUCCUUAUUUGCCAGCGCGUAAUGGCGGGAACUCUAAGGAGACUGCCGGUGACAAACCGGAGGAAGGUGGGGACGACGUCAAGUCAUCAUGGCCCUUACGAGUAGGGCUACACACGUGCUACAAUGGUCGGUACAAAGGGUUGCCAACUCGUGAGAGUGAGCCAAUCCCGAAAAGCCGAUCUCAGUCCGGAUCGGAGUCUGCAACUCGACUCCGUGAAGUCGGAAUCGCUAGUAAUCGUGGAUCAGAAUGCCACGGUGAAUACGUUCCCGGG